rnacentral:lncRNA from 1 species
GGGGUCAUCCAUAAUUGUCAACCAUUUUCCAAAGUGUACAAAACGUACACUUGGGGGAGGGGGUUAAAAAAUCAACAUUUUUACCGUACGCUUUUUUUUUUCUUUUCCAGAAUUUAUUUCGUUUCCGUAGGGAAGGUCGAUGUAUAAAAUCGAGAAUUGGCUUGGGUGUGUUUCUCUUCUCAUUUCUUCUUUAUUAUUUUCACUUGAUGAUAUUUAUUUCGAGAUCAUAAUUCUCCUCAAUCCGGAUUGAACGAUUAAAAGAUCAAAUCAUAAGAAAACUAAAUCUUUCAAAAAUGUAAACUUGUAAAUUUUUUAAACAAAUAGUUUGCAAGCAUUUCUCAGUACCCCCGAUUGUCAAUUUCACCUGCUUUAUUAUAGAUCGUUAUCGUUUCACUCUGUUUAAUAAACAAAACUGAUGGAAACAUUAAAUUCUUUGAAAGUUUUGAUUUUGACAAGACGCCAUUUUGUGAAAAGAUUUAAAACUGGUCCUUCGAUUGAUUUCCUUGUAAUGUAUUCCAAAACAGUAAACCAGUAAACCGGAAGUAAACUUAUUUUUCUUAGUAUAAGCCUCCUUUAAUUAGGAGCACCUCCAUAUGAAGUUUAACCUUAACCUUAAAAAUUAUCCAAUAUAACACGUUACAGUAUAUAUACACAAACGAUAAUAGUGCCAUGAAUGGCAUAUUUACAGGGACUUUUUAAAUAGAAAUACAGGCGGGAAAUUUAAAAACUUAAAAUGUUUUAAAACAUUACACUUUUAUUGAUUGCUGUCUUAAGCUCUGAUUCCAUCAACAACUGUCAGUCCAUACUUUACCACUGCAAUAUAACCAUGCAUUUCCCUUUCUUUGAUUCUUAGCAUAGUUUAUGUGCCCUUUUGUUAAUCUUUUGCAUGCUUUA